UAUAUUCGAUAUAAAUAAGGAUUUACUCGAUUUGGACAUUUUAUACUCCCAUUUAAAAGCUGUUUAACACUCCUCUUUCCAGAUAUUUGAUACUCACUAAAUGUUUCACUUUAUUUUUUUUGAUUCUUUCCGUAUUCAUUAAAAUUUGUUUCCGGUCGAUCCACAUUAUUUGAAAAAGAAAAAGUGUUUGUUUCAACGUACCACACAUGUAUUUGAUAAAGUAUUAAAUUUUUCUCCGUUUAAAUAAUGUUAUUUCGAUUCAAUGUUAUGGUAGCCGUUUUAACGAAUAACGAGAAUUAUUUUUGUUCUUCUGUUAUAAAAUUUGUUUUCCUCAGUAAAUUUAUAAUAAUAACAAGACGCAUAGUUUAACCGUGAUGAGUAUAUUAGCCAUAUAUUUUUCUCGUCCUUCCGAGCCGUUUCUGUCGUUUAAAAAUUGUUUCAGCCUGUUAACGUCUUGUUCGGAUGAUAAUUAUGUUAUUCCCGAUGAACCCGAAGCAGACGAGUAUUGGGGACUGCUGCACCGACAACAAAAACCACGGAGAACACCACACUUCAUACCACGGUGAAAAAUGGUAUGGUUCCAAAAAAACACGGACAGCAUUUCAAUGUCAGCCGCGGCAACAAUAAAAGGUGUGUACUGGAUGUUUUGAGUGAGUAGUCUCUUAAACCUAGUCAAUAAUGCUGUAUAUCUCAACUGACCACAGUUCUCAAACGAUAGCAUUAUUAUUAAGAAAAAGUUAUAUUUGGAAUUAGGCAGUGAAAUUUUUAGAGUGCAGGAGAGGACCAUGUUAUUACCGACCGUCAUAAUACCCAGUUUAGACUUUAGACUUAGGAUGGAUGUUUUAUUAUUUAUUAAGUAUAUUACAAAUAUUUGAUAAUAUAUCAUAUUUUCAUAUUUUCCUGUUUUUUCGUAUUUUUGUGAAUUGCUAAUUAAAUUUUUUUGCCUUAUUGGAAAAUCUUAAAAAUUAAUACAACACUUCUUACACAUUUCUCUUCCUGAUAAAUGUUAAAAAAGUUUAGUAUAAUUUCGUGAAUAUUUUUAAUUUUUUUGCUAUUUGACACUUUGACGAAAAUCGUAAAUAUUAUGGUCUAUCAAAACAAGUAAGUACAACUGAACUCUGCUUAGAAUUUUUUUUCGUUAUCAAUCAUUUAUCGUUCCCAUCUAGAUUUUACCUUUUCCACUUCUCAACUAUAACAGUGGCCCUUCCAACGCGUGAAGUACGUCCGUCUUUUU